AGACUUCAAAUAAGGAUUUUCCGCCCUAUAUUAGUCCUGCCGGCGGGAUUUCCCGUCCGGCUAUGGUGAUAAACGGACUGUGAAAUAAGCCAUUCGGACCCGGGGGCGGUACCCGGCGCCUCCACCAUGUUCCCCCUGUCGUGGCAGGGUUCCUGGGGGCGAAACAGGAUCGACGAGGGUGUAAAGACAGUCUUUUUGCCCGGCAUGGUUCCGCCGUCAUCGGGCCGUUUUAUAGUUGCCAACGACAACUAUGCUGAGGCACGUCUCGCUGCGUAAGCGGUGCGACAACCU
rnacentral:tmRNA from 1 species